AUUGAACGCUGGCGGCAGGCUUAACACAUGCAAGUCGAGCGAGCGGCGGACGGGUGAGUAAUGUCCGGGAAACUGCCUGAUGGAGGGGGAUAACUACUGGAAACGGUAGCUAAUACCGCAUACCAUCAGAUGUGCCCUGGUGGGAUUAGCUAGUAGGUGGGGUAAUGGCUCACCUAGGCGAAGAUCCCUAGCUGGUCUGAGAGGGUGACCAGCAACACUGGAACUGAGACACGGUCCAGACUCCUACGGGAGGCAGCAGUGGGGAAUAUUGCACAAUGGGCGCAAGCCUGAUGCAGCCAUGCCGCGUGUGUGAAGAAGGCCUUCGGGUUGUAAAGCACUUUCAGCGGAGAGGCGUUACUCGCAGAAGAAGCACCGGCUAACUCCGUGCCAGCCGCCGCGGUAAUUC
rnacentral:rRNA from 1 species